rnacentral:rRNA from 1 species
UGGGGAAUAUUGCACAAUGGGCGGAAGCCUGAUGCAGCGACGCCGCGUGAGGGAUGAAGGCCUUCGGGUUGUAAACCUCUUUCAGCAGGGACGAAGCGUGAGUGACGGUACCUGCAGAAGAAGCACCGGCUAACUACGUGCCAGCAGCCGCGGUAAUACGUAGGGUGCGAGCGUUGUCCGGAAUUACUGGGGCGUAAAAGAGUUUCGUAGGCGGUUUAGUCGCGUCGUUUGUGAAAAACCCCGGGGGCUCAACUUCGGGCUUGCAGGCGAUACGGGCAGACUUGAGUGUUUCAGGGGAGACUGGAAUUCCUGGUGUAGCGGUGAAUGCGCAGAUAUCAGGAGGAACACCGGUGGCGAAGGCGGGUCUCUGGGAAACAACUGACGCUGAGGAACGAAAGCGUGGGUAGCAAACA